ACGCUGGCGGCAGGCCUAACACAUGCAAGUCGAGCGGUAGAGAGAAGCUUGCUUCUCUUGAGAGCGGCGGACGGGUGAGUAAUGCCUAGGAAUCUGCCUGGUAGUGGGGGAUAACGUUCGGAAACGGACGCUAAUACCGCAUACGUCCUACGGGAGAAAGCAGGGGACCUUCGGGCCCUUGCGCUAUCAGAUGAGCCUAGGUCGGAUUAGCUAGUUGGUGGGGUAAUGGCCCACCAAGGCGACGAUCCGUAACUGGUCUGAGAGGAUGAUCAGUCACACUGGAACUGAGACACGGUCCAGACUCCUACGGGAGGCAGCAGUGGGGAAUAUUGGACAAUGGGCGAAAGCCUGAUCCAGCCAUGCCGCGUGUGUGAAGAAGGUCUUCGGAUUGUAAAGCACUUUAAGUUGGGAGGAAGGGCAGUAAAUUAAUACUUUGCUGUUUUGACGUUACCGACAGAAUAAGCACCGGCUAACUCUGUGCCAGCAGCCGCGGUAAUACAGAGGGUGCAAGCGUUAAUCGGAAUUACUGGGCGUAAAGCGCGCGUAGGUGGUUCGUUAAGUUGGAUGUGAAAUCCCCGGGCUCAACCUGGGAACUGCAUUCAAAACUGACGAGCUAGAGUAUGGUAGAGGGUGGUGGAAUUUCCUGUGUAGCGGUGAAAUGCGUAGAUAUAGGAAGGAACACCAGUGGCGAAGGCGACCACCUGGACUGAUACUGACACUGAGGUGCGAAAGCGUGGGGAGCAAAC
rnacentral:rRNA from 1 species